rnacentral:rRNA from 1 species
GAUGAACGCUAGCGGCAGGCUUAACACAUGCAAGUCGAGGGGCAUCACGGGUAGCAAUACCUGGUGGCGACCGGCGCACGGGUGCGUAACGCGUAUGGAACCUACCCACCGCAGGGGGAUAACCCGCCGAAAGGCGGACUAAUACCCCAUGGUUCCCCGACCCUGCCUGGGGUUGGGGGUAAAGCCUACGGGCGGCGGUGGAUGGCCCUGCGUGCCAUUAGCUGGCUGGUGGGGUAACGGCCCACCAAGGCUACGAUGUUUAGGGGACCUGAGAGGGUGAUCCCCCACACUGGUACUGAGACACGGACCAGACUCCUACGGGAGGCAGCAGUGAGGAAUAUUGGUCAAUGGGCGGAAGCCUGAACCAGCCAUCCCGCGUGCAGGAAGACGGCCCUAUGGGUUGUAAACUGCUUUUCCAGGGGGAGAAACUUUCCGAUGCAUCGGGAUUUGACGGUACCCUGGGAAUAAGCAUCGGCUAACUCCGUG